AAUAUAACAGGAUAAAGAGUGUUGGAAGAUGGGAUCAGGCAAUAAAAGGUUAAAUCGUCUAAUAAACUACAAGAAGGCAACUCGAUAUCCUUUUUUAUAUAUUUCGCGGUAUCAAUGCCAAUUCAAUACGAAUAUCGCUCGCACUUGAUGGUAUCCGUAGUAGCCAAUAUACAAAUAGCAUCGGCAUUGGUACUAUUAACAGUACCGCCAUCACGAGGAACACUAGGUACUACUAUCCUAGCGGUGGAAGCAAGAGGAGAACAGAGGGCUAGAAGGAAGCAGCAGUGGGAGCAGGAGGAGGAGCGGAGGAGAGUGAGGUGGGGCGAUCGAUAUAGCGUGGGUGGAUGUGCAGAGGUGCGGUAGGACAGCCGCCAGUUGUGCUGUCGGCUGCAUCAACGAAGAACCGUGCUCUCUCUCUCAAUCGGUUGGCAGUGCACCGCGUUCUCCUUUAUCCGUGGUUCACAGUGUCCGGUAUAUGUAUACCUGAAUGCAUCGAAGUUUAUUCGAUGGGAAUCUAUGGUGAUUUCUGCCAGCUCGAUAUACGCGAUUCCUUCUUCAUCGACGAAUAUAUACAUCUUCGGUCAAUUUUCGGACGAUGGCGGUGCAAUAUCUAUAAGAAUCAUAAUUGGAAUGUGUCGCCGUUCGGUUCCAACUACUCUCUUUGAUCAUUGUACCGUAACAAAAACUUUUUCCCGCAAUUUUCGAAACUUAAAGAUCAAAGAUUUCCUUUUAAACGUUGCGUAUAAAUGUAUAUAAAAUAACCUUGGAAACGUAGAAACGUUUCUUAGAAGAUCCGUGAAAAUUAUCGCGAUCGUAUGUUACGUCGGAAAAACAUACGUCUCGCGUGUACGAUCGUGAUUCGCUCGCAAUAAUUUUAAAAUUGUUUCGAGAAGAAUCUUUCUGUUGUCGCGAAUUUGUAUCUUUUGAACAAUAAAAUAGAAUAAAAUUCGGUAUAGAAGAUCGACGAAUUUCUUCGCACGAUUUAGAACUGGGAAGCAAGGUACGGGCGCGCAUAGUUUCGAAUAGUCGUAAGCUUCAGGAAAAUAUCUUCAAGCGAAAACUUGAAAAUAGAAACGAAGUGUGCAAGCAGCAUAGCGACGCGGCUCUUCGUGGAUACCAAAGAUAGAGACUAAAGAAAAAUAAAAAGAAAAAAAGAAACUACUCCUAGAACUAUGACCUAUUACAAUCUAUUAUAAAAAACGAUAUCAUAAUAAAAACUGUCGAAGCUUUCUCGAAGUUACGAAAGGGGAAAAGUCAAGGCGAUUGCCGUGAUGGAAAGGUCCAUUCUUAUAUCCAGUUCUAUAACUCGGAAUCGAACGUUCCAAAUUUUGCAGUUUCUCUCGUAAAACGAAUCGAUGCGUGUAGGAAUAAACCAGUUUUCUUCGUCGUGUACGCAAUUUUAUGAAAUAGUUGAUGCAAAUUGAACGGAAUAACAAGCUCUAUCGUCAAGUCGACGGUCGAUGUCGAGGGAAUCAAUUGGUACAUCGCGUUAGUGCCGCGACAAACACACUGGCCUACAUGUCUGUUUAUUGGCGGCUCGUUCACGGCUCGUAUUUAACAUCCCCCUUCGCAUUCUUCAGCUGAAUUUUCCUGGUCCCUCGCUACGGACGAGACGACGCAGUCGCGGAAAAGGCGACCGCAGCCUUACGGCGAUGGCGCAGUUGUACGCACCCAAUGCAUCCCUCGUCAUCCUUGAUACACCCUUUCACACACAUAUACCAAUUAAUCUUUGUCUUCCUUUUUUUUUUUUUUUUGCAUUUUCAUUGUGGAAAUAAUAUUUUGUUGUAUGUUGGAUUCUUGAAGCGUCCAUCAAUCGUUCCGGCCGCCUUUUAUAUACACUUACAAGUUUCAAGCGUAUUUCUUCUAUAUGAUCUCUACCUUUCCAAGUUCUUUUGUAACCAUUAAUUAAUACGCGAAUCGAAUAAUCUUGAAUAUCUUAUUUGAUUUUGAUGAUAGGUUUUGCUGAAUAUAUAAAGUCGUGUGAAGAUUAUCUUUAUUUUUUAAAUGAGAUAAUUUUUAAUGAAUUAAUUCACAUCGAUUUUUCUUAUAAAAAAAUUGUUAAUCUAUUUUCGAUUAAAGAUUGUAGAUUUAAAAAGUAUUCAAGUAAUUGGAAUGGAAUUUAUCAUGUGGAAGUUAAAAUAAGAAUAACGAGUAUCUUUCGUACAAAUUUCAAUAAGUUUUAUAAUAUAAAUAAAAAAUAUCUUUUAAGAGCUUCUUAUUAAACAAGUUUUUGUUUAAAUAGUUUAUUCUUAUUUUUUUAUAUAAACGUGCUAUAUCGAUUAAUGCAUUAAAAAUAAUAAUAAUAUUUAAAAAAAUAAAAUUGACCUUCAUAUGACCUUCUAUAUAUAUAUAUAUGCAAAAUAAUUAUUAAUAUCAUGCCCUUCUCUUAUUUACCAUUAAAUUUUUAUUCGAAACGUUUUUUAAUAUUAUAUAUUAAAAAUAAGUGAUAUUUCAGGUUUCCACUUCAAUAAUUAUCGCAAUCAGGGCGAUGAUAUAAAAGAUAAUAGUGAUAUAAAAGAGAAAAGUUUAGACAAUGGAUUAAACGAGAGCUCGUUAUCAGGAAAACAGUGUGGAGUGUUUAAGUAAAUGAAAGUGAUUAUUAAAAGAACAUUACACCGAACGAUAAAAAGUGGAAAAAUUUAUAUUGCGGAGAUAUAACAGAUUUCAUUCGAUCGCAAGAUCAAUCGAACGCCUGGCCGAUAAAAAAGAGAUUCAUUUUUGACAAUUUUUUUAACGAUAUAUUUCAUAUAACCAAAUCGAAUGAUGCAGCAACUAUCGAUAAAAAAGCAAACAGUUUAUUGUUUUGUCGAAUUGUUACUGCUCUUGUAUCUAAGAAAAUAGUACCAUUGGUUGAUUAAGAACAACAAUAAUAAAUUUGAAAGAUUUUUCAAAAAUCGAAGUAAAGAUUUAUUACAAUUUUAAAUUACUUUCUUUUUUUUUAACAUCAAUUCAAAGCAAGUUUCAUUUCCUUAAUUUUCUUAAAGUUGUUACAAAUGGAUCUGUCUGUCUCCCCCAUUUCUAAAGUUCUAAAGUUCUCGAUUGUGCUAAGGUGAAACUCAUUAUCCAUUGAUCGUGUUUUCACGUAAACGUGUCACUGGAUCAGAAAUAUAUCCGCACGAUAUAAACUAUAAACACAAAAUUUUGCAUAUUUUCGAAUCAACUCUCCCGCGUGAGACAGAUGUGGCAGUGGGCCACUGGUGGCUAGUGAGAAUUCCGCCACUAGCCAUGACCUAUAUACCCACCCUCGUCGCGUCGCUAUUGGCCAACCCCCAUUGCUGGUGGGAAUCACUAGCGCUCGAACACGAGCGGAAUAUAACGCGUGAUUAUAAAAAUUGCUAUAAAAAUUAUUUCUUGCAAUGAAUAUUUCACGAAUGGAAAAGAUUUCAGAAACUUUUUUUUCU